CCCUUAGAUGUCCUGGGCCGCACGCGCGCUACACUGACAUGUUCAACAAGUUUCUCCUAGUUCGACAGGACUGGGAAAUCUUUGAACGCAUGUCGUGAUAGGGAUAGAUCAUUGCAAUUAUUGAUCUUGAACGAGGAAUUCCUAGUAAACGCGAGUCAUCAGCUCGCAUUGAUUACGUCCCUGCCCUUUGUACACACCGCCCGUCGCACCUACCGAUUGAAUGUUUCGGUGAAGAUUCCGGAUAGGACUGAUUUGAUUUAUUUCAUUUCUGACCUAAAAGCUAUCUAAACCUCAACAUUUAGAGGAAGGUGAGGUCGUAACA
rnacentral:rRNA from 1 species